rnacentral:lncRNA from 1 species
UUUUCAUUUUUUUAUAGAUUUAUUUAUUAAAACUGUUUUAUGUCUUAAACCAUGCAUCUAAAUCUUAAAUUAUUAUUUUUUCGUGUCAAAACCUUUAAAGCUAGGUCUCAUGUUGAUAGAUUUUAACAAUUCUUUUUAUAAAAUUUACCGGACGAAAAAACUGAACCAGGAGCAUAUUGUUUCCCUUUACAUCACGUGCUUAAAAAAAUGGCGGAUGCAAAGACCGGGCUCAAAUCGGUCCGAUGGGAUGUCAAUGUCAUGCACGCUAUCGAAAACGGCCAAGGCUGCACCAGGAC